rnacentral:rRNA from 1 species
UACGGAGGGUGCGAGCGUUGUCCGGAGUCACUGGGCGUAAAGGGCGCGUAGGCGGCGCGGAUAGUCGGCGGUGAAAGCCCGGAGCUCAACUCCGGGUCGGCCGUCGAUACUUCCGGGCUUGAGCACUGUAGAGGCAGAUGGAAUUCCGGGUGUAGCGGUGGAAUGCGUAGAGAUCCGGAAGAACACCGGUGGCGAAGGCGGUCUGGUGGGCAGUUGCUGACGCUGAUGCGCGACAGCGUGGGGAGCAAACAGG